rnacentral:rRNA from 1 species
AUUGAACGCUGGCGGCAGGCCUAACACAUGCAAGUCGAGCGAGCGGCGGACGGGUGAGUAAUGUCUGGGAAACUGCCUGAUGGAGGGGGAUAACUACUGGAAACGGUAGCUAAUACCGCAUACUAUCAGAUGUGCCCAGAUGGGAUUAGCUAGUGGGUGGGGUAAUGGCUCACCAAGGCGACGAUCCCUAGCUGGUCUGAGAGGAUGAUCAGCCACACUGGAACUGAGACACGGUCCAGACUCCUACGGGAGGCAGCAGUGGGGAAUAUUGCACAAUGGGCGCAAGCCUGAUGCAGCCAUGCCGCGUGUGUGAAGAAGGCCUUCGGGUUGUAAAGCACUUUCAGUGGGGAGGCGUUACCGACAGAAGAAGCACCGGCUAACUCCGUGCCAGCAGCCGCGGUAAUUC